rnacentral:rRNA from 1 species
AGAGUUUGAUCCUGGCUCAGGACGAACGCUGGCGGUGUGCUUCACACAUGCAAGUCGAACGGAGUAGCAAUACUCAGUGGCGGACGGGUGAGUAACACGUGGGAAUCUACCAUUAGGUGGGGAAUAACAGGCCGAAAGGACUGCUAAUGCCGCAUAUGUAGGCAUCUCGACAGAGAUGUUUAUGAAAGGAGUAAUCCGCCUUUUGAUGAGCCCGCGUCCGAUUAGCUAGUUGGUAGGGUAAAAGCCUACCAAGGCGACGAUCGGUAGGUGGUCUGAGAGGAUGAUCACCCACAAUGGGACUGAGACACGGCCCAUACUCCUACGGGAGGCAGCAGUGGGGAAUUUUACGCAAUGGGGGAAACCCUGACGUAGCGACACCGCGUGAGCGAAGAAGCCCUUUGGGGUGUAAAGCUCUGUCAACAGGAACGAAACAAAUGACGGUACCUGUGGAGGAAGCAUCGGCUAACUACGUGCCAGCAGCCGCGGUAAGACGUAGGAUGCAAGCGUUGUCCGGAUUUAUUGGGCGUAAAGAGUCCGUAGGCGGUUUGUUAAGUCUGAUGUUAAAGACCGGGGCUCAACCUCGGAAAUGCAUUGGAUACUGGCAGACUGGAGUGCAGUAGAGGCUAGUGGAAUUCCCAGUGUAGCGGUGAAAUGCGUAGA